rnacentral:rRNA from 1 species
AACGAACGCUGGCGGCAGGCUUAACACAUGCAAGUCGAGCGCCCCGCAAGGGGAGCGGCAGACGGGUGAGUAACACGUGGGAACCUUCCUAGAGGUACGGAACAACUCAGGGAAACUUGAGCUAAUACCGUAUACGCUCUUGCGAGGAAAGAUUUAUCGCCUUUAAACGGGCCCGCGUCGGAUUAGCUAGUUGGUGGGGUAACGGCCUACCAAGGCGACGAUCCGUAGCUGAUCUGAGAGGAUGAUCAGCCACACUGGGACUGAGACACGGCCCAGACUCCUACGGGAGGCAGCAGUGGGGAAUCUUGGACAAUGGGCGCAAGCCUGAUCCAGCCAUGCCGCGUGAGUGAAGAAGGCCUUCGGGUUGUAAAGCUCUUUUGCCAGGGACGAUAAUGACGGUACCUGGAGAAUAAGCCCCGGCAAACUUCGUGCCAGCCGCCGCAGUAACAC